GCCUAACACAUGCAAGUCGAGCGGUUACAGGGGUAGCUUGCUACCCGCUGACGAGCGGCGGACGGGUGAGUAAUACUUGGGAACUUGCCUUUAGGAGGGGGACAACCACGGGAAACUGUGGCUAAUACCGCAUAAUGUGCUUUCUUUAACGGGAAGUACCAAAGUGGGGGAUCGCUAGACCUCACACCUAAAGAUGGGCCCAAGCGAGAUUAGCUAGUUGGUGGGGUAAAGGCUCACCAAGGCGACGAUCUCUAGCUGUUCUGAGAGGAUGAUCAGCCACACUGGGACUGAGACACGGCCCAGACUCCUACGGGAGGCUGCAGUGGGGAAUAUUGCACAAUGGGGGAAACCCUGAUGCAUCCAUGCCGCGUGUGUGAAGAAGGCCUUCGGGUUGUAAAGUACUUUCAGUGGUGAGGAAGGCGUUGCCGUUAAUAGCGGCAACGAUUGACGUUAGCCUCACAAGAAGCACCGGCUAACUCCGUGCCAGCAUCCGCGGUAAUACGGAGGGUGCAAGCGUUAAUCGGAAUUACUGGGCGUAUAGC
rnacentral:rRNA from 1 species